rnacentral:rRNA from 1 species
CACAUGCAAGUCGAGGGGAAACGACAUCGAAAGCUUGCUUUUGAUGGGCGUCGACCGGCGCACGGGUGAGUAACGCGUAUCCAACCUGCCCACCACUUGGGGAUAACCUUGCGAAAGUAAGACUAAUACCCAAUGAUAUCUCUAGAAGACAUCUGAAAGAGAUUAAAGAUUUAUCGGUGAUGGAUGGGGAUGCGUCUGAUUAGCUUGUUGGCGGGGUAACGGCCCACCAAGGCGACGAUCAGUAGGGGUUCUGAGAGGAAGGUCCCCCACAUUGGAACUGAGACACGGUCCAAACUCCUACGGGAGGCAGCAGUGAGGAAUAUUGGUCAAUGGACGAGAGUCUGAACCAGCCAAGUAGCGUGCAGGAUGACGGCCCUAUGGGUUGUAAACUGCUUUUAUAAGGGAAUAAAGUGAGUCUCGUGAGACUUUUUGCAUGUACCUUAUGAAUAAGGACCGGCUAAUUCCGUGCCAGCAGCCGCGGUAAUACGGAAGGUCCGGGCGUUAUCCGGAUUUAUUGGGUUUAAAGGGAGCGUAGGCCGGAGAUUAAGCGUGUUGUGAAAUGUAGAUGCUCAACAUCUGCACUGCAGCGCGAACUGGUUUCCUUGAGUACGCACAAAGUGGGCGGAAUUCGUGGUGUAGCGGUGAAAUGCUUAGAUAUCACGAAGAACUCCGAUUGCGAAGGCAGCUCACUGGAGCGCAACUGACGCUGAAGCUCGAAAGUGCGGGUAUCGAACAGGAUUAGAUACCCUGGUAGUCCGCGCGGUAAACGAUGGAUGCCCGCUGUUGGUCUGAAUAGGUCAGCGGCCAAGCGAAAGCAUUAAGCAUCCCACCUGGGGAGUACGCCGGCAACGGUGAAACUCAAAGGAAUUGACGGGGGCCCGCACAAGCGGAGGAACAUGUGGUUUAAUUCGAUGAUACGCGAGGAACCUUACCCG